AAAUGCACUUCUGAUGUAUUAAAAUUUUAAACUUGUUGCCUUUUGUUAGCUAUUAUUCGUGUGUUUCUUUGUCAAUUGUGUUCUCCUAUUUAUUUAUAUUGUAGUCCUGUAAUGUUGUGUUGUAAUUUUAAUGUUAUAUUUCACAUGGCCAUAAAAGAGGGAGGUUUGGCAUGCCACAAAACCAGGUUCAACCCACCAUUUUUUCCUUUAAAAAUGUCCUGCACCAAGUCAGGAAUAUGGCCAUUGUUAUAUUAUAGUUCGUUUCUGUGUGUGUUACAUUUUAACGCUGUGUUUCCGUUGUGUCGUUUGUUUUCUCUUAUUUUUGAGUGUGAAUUCACAUUACUAUAAGACGUGUCACGGUACUUAUCUAUCCCAAAUUCAUGUAUUUGGUUUUGAUGUUAUAUUUGUUAUUCUCAUAAGAUUUUGUCUAAUGCUUAGUCCGUUUCUGUCUGUGUUACAUUUUAAUGUUGUGUCGUUGUUCUC
rnacentral:lncRNA from 1 species